rnacentral:rRNA from 1 species
UACGAAGGGGGCUAGCGUUGCUCGGAAUUACUGGGCGUAAAGCGCACGUAGGCGGCUUUCUAAGUCGGGGGUGAAAUCCUGGAGCUCAACUCCAGAACUGCCUUCGAUACUGGAAAGCUCGAGUCCGGGAGAGGUGAGUGGAACUGCGAGUGUAGAGGUGAAAUUCGUAGAUAUUCGGAAGAACACCAGUGGCGAAGGCGGCUCACUGGACGACUGUUGACGCUGAGUUACGAAAGCGUGGGGAGCAAACAGG